rnacentral:rRNA from 1 species
GACGAGCGCUGGCGGCGUGCUUAACACAUGCAAGUCGAGCGGAAAGGCCCUGCUUGCAGGGUACUCGAGUGGCGAACGGGUGAGUAACACGUGGGUGAUCUGCCCUGCACUUCGGGAUAAGCCUGGGAAACUGGGUCUAAUACCGGAUAGGAGCCAUUUUUAGUGUGAUGGUUGGAAAGUUUUUUCGGUGUAGGAUGAGCUCGCGGCCUAUCAGCUUGUUGGUGGGGUAAUGGCCUACCAAGGCGGCGACGGGUAGCCGGCCUGAGAGGGUGGACGGCCACAUUGGGACUGAGAUACGGCCCAGACUCCUACGGGAGGCAGCAGUGGGGAAUAUUGCACAAUGGGCGCAAGCCUGAUGCAGCGACGCCGCGUGGGGGAUGACGGCCUUCGGGUUGUAAACUCCUUUCGCUAGGGACGAAGCUUUUUGUGACGGUACCUAGAUAAGAAGCACCGGCUAACUACGUG